rnacentral:rRNA from 1 species
UGACUGCGUACCUUUUGUAUAAUGGGUCAGCGACUUAUAUUCUGUAGCAAGGUUAACCGAAUAGGGGAGCCGGAGGGAAACCGAGUCUUAAUUGGGCGUUAAGUUGCAGGGUAUAGACCCGAAACCCGGUGAUCUAGCCAUGGGCAGGUUGAAGGUUGGGUAACACUAACUGGAGGACCGAACCGACUAAUGUUGAAAAAUUAGCGGAUGACCUGUGGCUGGGGGUGAAAGGCCAAUCAAACCGGGAGAUAGCUGGUUCUCCCCGAAAGCUAUUUAGGUAGCGCCUCGUGAAUUCAUCUCCGGGGGUAGAGCACUGUUUCGGCUAGGGGGCCAUCCCGGCUUACCAACCCGAUGCAAACUGCGAAUACCGGAGAAUGUUAUCACGGGAGACACACGGCGGGUGCUAACGUCCGUCGUGAAGAGGGAAACAACCCAGACCGCCAGCUAAGGUCCCAAAGUCAUGGUUAAGUGGGAAACGAUGUGGGAAGGCCCAGACAGCCAGGAUGUUGGCUUAGAAGCAGCCAUCAUUUAAAGAAAGCGUAAUAGCUCACUGGUCGAGUCGGCCUGCGCGGAAGAUGUAACGGGGCUAAACCAUGCACCGAAGCUGCGGCAGCGACACUCAGGUGUUGUUGGGUAGGGGAGCGUUCUGUAAGCCUGCGAAGGUGUGCUGUGAGGCAUGCUGGAGGUAUCAGAAGUGCGAAUGCUGACAUAAGUAACGAUAAAGCGGGUGAAAAGCCCGCUCGCCGGAAGACCAAGGGUUCCUGUCCAACGUUAAUCGGGGCAGGGUGAGUCGACCCCUAAGGCGAGGCCGAAAGGCGUAGUCGAUGGGAAACGGGUUAAUAUUCCCGUACUUGGUGUUACUGCGAAGGGGGGACGGAGAAGGCUAUGUUGGCCGGGCGACGGUUGUCCCGGUUUAAGCGUGUAGGUGUGUGUUCCAGGUAAAUCCGGUUCACUUUAACACUGAGGCGUGACGACGAGGCACUACGGUGCUGAAGCAACAAAUGCCCUGCUUCCAGGAAAAGCCUCUAAGCAUCAGGUAACAUCAAAUCGUACCCCAAACCGACACAGGUGGUCAGGUAGAGAAUACCAAGGCGCUUGAGAGAACUCGGGUGAAGGAACUAGGCAAAAUGGUGCCGUAACUUCGGGAGAAGGCACGCUGACACGUAGGUGAAGUGAUUUACUCACGGAGCUGAAGUCAGUCGAAGAUACCAGCUGGCUGCAACUGUUUAUUAAAAACACAGCACUGUGCAAACACGAAAGUGGACGUAUACGGUGUGACGCCUGCCCGGUGCCGGAAGGUUAAUUGAUGGGGUCAGCGCAAGCGAAGCUCCUGAUCGAAGCCCCGGUAAACGGCGGCCGUAACUAUAACGGUCCUAAGGUAGCGAAAUUCCUUGUCGGGUAAGUUCCGACCUGCACGAAUGGCGUAAUGAUGGCCAGGCUGUCUCCACCCGAGACUCAGUGAAAUUGAACUCGCUGUGAAGAUGCAGUGUACCCGCGGCAAGACGGAAAGACCCCGUGAACCUUUACUAUAGCUUGACACUGAACAUUGAGCCUUGAUGUGUAGGAUAGGUGGGAGGCUUUGAAGUGUGGACGCCAGUCUGCAUGGAGCCGGCCUUGAAAUACCACCCUUUAAUGUUUGAUGUUCUAACGUGGACCCGUAAUCCGGGUUGCGGACAGUGUCUGGUGGGUAGUUUGACUGGGGCGGUCUCCUCCUAAAGAGUAACGGAGGAGCACGAAGGUUGGCUAAUCCUGGUCGGACAUCAGGAGGUUAGUGCAAUGGCAUAAGCCAGCUUGACUGCGAGCGUGACGGCGCGAGCAGGUGCGAAAGCAGGUCAUAGUGAUCCGGUGGUUCUGAAUGGAAGGGCCAUCGCUCAACGGAUAAAAGGUACUCCGGGGAUAACAGGCUGAUACCGCCCAAGAGUUCAUAUCGACGGCGGUGUUUGGCACCUCGAUGUCGGCUCAUCACAUCCUGGGGCUGAAGUAGGUCCCAAGGGUAUGGCUGUUCGCCAUUUAAAGUGGUACGCGAGCUGGGUUUAGAACGUCGUGAGACAGUUCGGUCCCUAUCUGCCGUGGGCGCUGGAGAACUGAGGGGGGCUGCUCCUAGUACGAGAGGACCGGAGUGGACGCAUCACUGGUGUUCGGGUUGUCAUGCCAAUGGCACUGCCCGGUAGCUAAAUGCGGAAGAGAUAAGUGCUGAAAGCAUCUAAGCACGAAACUUGCCCCGAGAUGAGUUCU